rnacentral:rRNA from 11 species
CUGAAAUAUAGCCCUAAAUAUACCUUAAAGGCAUCUGAUCCCGUCUGAUCUUGGGAGGUACGUGGGGUCAGCUCUGGUUAGCACUUGGAUGGGAGGCCAUCAAUGAAUGUAGGCCAUAUUUCAGA